ACUAUGAGCUAUGAACGCCAUUAAAAGCCGGUUUUGAAAAAAAAAUUAAACAACGAUGUUUGCCACAGAUUCUAAAAACGAUUUAAAAGCUUUUAAACAAAAAGGAUGAGGAAACACUUAAAAAGCGGCGAGGCUGGCUUUCAACAUAUUUACAACACAUUUAAACAAGACAAACUUGAAUAAACCGCCGGACAAAAACAAAUUAACGAAGAUUUGCUUGGUCAUGUCAUGAUGUUGUUUGAUCUUGCCAAUCAAGCCUUGGACCUACGCGUGCGCAAAUGUGAUGUAAAAAUUACGGAUCGCGCUUGAAAUGGGACCGAAGUCUAUUCAUGGCAACUAAAGGGUGCAUCGAAUUCUCGAUUCACCUAGUUAUUUUUGAAGCUAACCUUGCCCUUCAGAUCACGAAACAAAAUACACUAAUUAAUCUGUAAAUAAAAUAGAUUAGACAACUACGAUAAAUUACUGUAAAAAAAUUUUUUUCCGAAAUAAAAUCUAGAUCCUCACAGUAAAAAAA